ACUCACUUGUAAAAACAAAAUGUAAUGAGUAAAGUGGAAAAGUGCCACGUUUGCCGUUCGUGUGCCUCCAUCUGUUGUGUUUCGUCGUCUUGUAAAAUCGUUUCUAUUUCCAGUUGUUUGCUAAAAGUUUCUUUUUACUUUUCAGAGUUUUGAUUUCUUUGCUUGAGUGUGUGUGUGGGUUGACUUAUAUUAUUUUCAAUUUUUAUUUACUUAUUUUCAGAAACAAAAAAAAACGGAAAAUAUUCAAUCAGUUUUAUAAACGAAUUUUUGCCACGAUUUUGGACCAAAACGAAAGAGAAAAUAUGCCGUAAAACACUGAUUGUGAAACCAUUUCUAUAAUACAUUAAGAUUUAGAGUCACCUCAAUCAAAAUCAUCCCACUGUCUUCAUUAUAAACGCUUUAAUAAUGAGUUAUUUUACCUAAUAAUUUUCAUAGUUGUGAACCGA